ACUCCUACGGGAGGCAGCAGUGGGGAAUUUUGGACAAUGGGCGAAAGCCUGAUCCAGCAAUGCCGCGUGAGUGAAGAAGGCCUUCGGGUUGUAAAGCUCUUUUGUCAGGGAAGAAACGGUGAAAGCUAAUAUCUUUUGCUAAUGACGGUACCUGAAGAAUAAGCACCGGCUAACUACGUGCCAGCAGCCGCGGUAAUACGUAGGGUGCAAGCGUUAAUCGGAAUUACUGGGCGUAAAGCGUGCGCAGGCGGUUUUGUAAGUCUGAUGUGAAAUCCCCGGGCUCAACCUGGGAAUUGCAUUGGAGACUGCAAGGCUAGAAUCUGGCAGAGGGGGGUAGAAUUCCACGUGUAGCAGUGAAAUGCGUAGAUAUGUGGAGGAACACCGAUGGCGAAGGCAGCCCCCUGGGUCAAGAUUGACGCUCAUGCACGAAAGCGUGGGGAGCAAACAGGAUUAGAAACCCUUGUAGUCCCA
rnacentral:rRNA from 1 species